UGACGGCCUUCGGGUUGUAAACCUCUUUCAGCAGGGAAGAAGCGCAAGUGACGGUACCUGCAGAAGAAGCACCGGCUAACUACGUGCCAGCAGCCGCGGUAAUACGUAGGGUGCGAGCGUUGUCCGGAAUUAUUGGGCGUAAAGAGCUCGUAGGCGGCCUGUCGCGUCGGAUGUGAAAGCCCGGGGCUUAACCCCGGGUCUGCAUUCGAUACGGGCAGGCUAGAGU
rnacentral:rRNA from 1 species